AGAGUUUGAUCAUGGCUCAGAACGAACGCUGGCGGCACGUUUUAAGCAUGCAAGUCGGACGGCAGUGGGGGCGACCCCAUGAGAGUGGCGAACGGGUGAGUAACACGUAGGUGAUCUGCCCUUAGGCUGGGGAUAGCCUGUGGAAACACAGGGUAAUACCGAAUGAGCUGGACUGGUUAUGACUGGUCUAGGAAAGGUGC
rnacentral:rRNA from 1 species